rnacentral:lncRNA from 1 species
UGUUGCAUUAUUUCACAGAAACCAUAUGAGAAUAUAUUUAUAUGACAACAUCAAACUUCAUAUAGCAUCAUCAGUUCCAUACAUAUAUAAUUACACUACAAGGCUACAAAGGUACCAUCCACAAAAGGAUCUGCUAACUACAAUAAUACUAGCAAAAUACACCGGCUUGCAACUACCACCAGAUGUAUCAACAUCAGUUCCAUACAUACACUACAAGGCUACAAAGGUACCAUCCACAAAAGGAUCUGCCAACUACAACAAUACUAGCAAAAUACGCCGGCUUGCAACUACCACCAGAUCUUAGUUCACAUUCCUAAGCCAUACCAGAUACACAAGUCCACAAAAGAGCAUAUUACGACCACAUAUAGUCUGAUGUUAUCAUGUUGAUUGAGCAAUCAGUUUCCGCCAUGGUUGGCUGCGUCAACGGUCUGAUCGCCGACAUUCCCAGCGGCUUCAUCCUCCUUGCUUGACUCCAUGACAUUAUUGUUGCCAUCAACCGCUUGCGAGCCGGCUUGAGAUGAGUUAUUUGUCCCCUGAAUCAAGAAGUAACCUAAUUGUUAUUUAAUCUGAUUUAGAACAAUAAAAAUACAAUACUUUGUUGGAUAACAAGUGGAGACAACAUAACCAAAUGAACCAAAUAAUAUCCAUUUAUUGAUUAAUGCUUGGCACCAAGAACUGAUUUUGUCUAGGCUACUUUCAAGUUCCAAUCAGAUGGACCUUAAGCAUGACAAGCAUUAUUUAUACGGAAAUUGGGCACAACAGCUAAAGAAUCUUGUGAGAAUAGACAAGCUCACAGAUGCAAACAUCCAAACAAAUUAAUACAAAACAUGAAAAACAAUCUCAUAUGCAACACAGUGUUGAUAUUGCAGCCACAUCAACGUAGACAUGUCAGAAGGAAC